rnacentral:rRNA from 1 species
GUACUGAGACACGGACCAGACUCCUACGGGAGGCAGCAGUGAGGAAUAUUGGACAAUGGAGGCAACUCUGAUCCAGCCAUGCCGCGUGUAGGAAGAAUGCCCUAUGGGUUGUAAACUACUUUUAUACAGGAAGAAACACUGGUAUGUAUACCAGCUUGACGGUACUGUAAGAAUAAGGACCGGCUAACUCCGUGCCAGCAGCCGCGGUAAUACGGAGGGUCCGAGCGUUAUCCGGAAUCAUUGGGUUUAAAGGGUCCG